rnacentral:ncRNA from 1 species
AAAAAAUCGUUGAAUAAGAGGAGUACGUUUCAUUUAAAUCGUUACAGAGAGCUGGUGCAGGUGUGAAUCCAGUACGAGGGGUGAAACGGAAUGGACUUAUGAGAGGUUUCUUGAAAAUGAAGUAGGGAAACACGGCUUCCACCGUUAACAGGAUAGGGUAUCGGAUCGUGAGUAUCCCGUACCUGAUCACGAGGAAGGGAUUAGAAUUUCCCUUCGAAAAGAGGUGGCACCACGAUGAGAAUCGUCCUCUAU